rnacentral:SRP_RNA from 1 species
CCGUGAUAGAUGGGGAGGUAGCGGUGCCCUGUAACCUGCAAUCCGCUAUAGCAGGGUCGAAGUCCUAGUUGAGGCCUAAUCUGUUAGGGUCUGCCCUAGAUAAGUGGUGUUGACGAUUGGGUCCUACGCAACGGAAAUUCAUGAACCCCGUCAGGUCCGGAAGGAAGCAGCGGUAAGUGAACACUUUCGUGUGCCGUAGGGAUGCCUGAUCCGAGCUAACUGUCUAGGUAACGCCUGGUUGGUUAUGUCGAUUCUAGGUUCACGG